GCAGGUAUGGUUUAAUGGUAGAACAACAGCCUUCCAAGCUGCUAGUGCGAGUUCGAUUCUCGUUACCUGCUCCA
rnacentral:tRNA from 2 species